AGUAGUUUGAUCCUGGCUCAGAGCGAACGCUAGCGGAAUGCUUUAUACAUGCAAGUCGAACGAAAAACCAUAUUGAGUAGCAAUACAAAGUGGAAGUUUUUAGUGGCGAACGGGUGAGUAAUAGAUAGGAACUUGCCGAGUAGUGGGGGACAACAGAUAGAAAUGUCUGCUAAUACCGCAUACGCCCGAGAGGGGAAAGAUUUAUCGCUAUUUGAGAGGCCUAUUCACGAUUAGCUUGUUGGUGAGAUAAAAGCCCACCAAGGCGACGAUCGUUAGCCGGUCUUAGAGGAUGAUCGGCCACAUUGGGACUGAGACACGGCCCAGACUCC
rnacentral:rRNA from 1 species